rnacentral:rRNA from 1 species
GACCGGCGCACGGGUGAGUAACACGUAUCCAACCUGCCGACAACACUGGGAUAGCCUUUCGAAAGAAAGAUUAAUACCGGAUGGCAUAGUUUUCCCGCAUGGGGUGACUAUUAAAGAAUUUCGGUUGUCGAUGGGGAUGCGUUCCAUUAGGCAGUUGGCGGGGUAACGGCCCACCAAGGCGACGAUCAGUAGCCGACCUGAGAGGGUGAUCGGCCACAUUGGGACUGAGACACGGUCCAAACUCCUACGGGAGGCAGCAGUGGGGAAUAUUGCACAAUGGGCGCAAGCCUGAUGCAGCAACGCCGCGUGAGCGAUGAAGGCCUUCGGGUCGUAAAGCUCUGUCCUCAAGGAAGAUAAUGACGGUACUUGAGGAGGAAGCCCCGGCUAACUACGUGCCAGCAGCCGCGGUAAUACGUAGGGGGCUAGCGUUAUCCGGAUUUACUGGGCGUAAAGGGUGCGUAGGCGGUCUUUCAAGUCAGGAGUUAAAGGCUACGGCUCAACCGUAGUAAGCUCCUGAUACUGUCUGACUUGAGUGCAGGAGAGGAAAGCGGAAUUCCCAGUGUAGCGGUGAAAUGCGUAGAUAUUAGGAGGAACACCAGUGGCGAAGGCGGCUUACUGGACGGUAACUGACGCUGAGGCGCGAAAGCGUGGGGAGCAAACAGGAUUAGAUACCCUGGUAGUCCACGCCGUAAACGAUGGAUACUAGAUGUGGGAGGUAUUGACCCCUUCCGUGCCGGAGUUAACACAAUAAGUAUCCCACCUGGGGAGUACGGCCGCAAGGUUGAAACUCAAAGGAAUUGACGGGGGCCCGCACAAGCAGUGGAGUAUGUGGUUUAAUUCGAAGCAACGCGAAGAACCUUACCAAGUCUUGACAUCCCGAUGACCGGUGCAGAGAUGUGCCUUUUCUUCGGAACAUCGGUGACAGGUGGUGCAUGGUUGUCGUCGGCUCGUGUCGUGAGAUGUUUGGUUAAGUCCAGCAACGAGCGCAACCCCCGCCGCAUGUUGCCAGCACCUCGGGUGGGCACCCAUGCGGGACCGCCGGAGUCAAUCCGGAGGAGGGCGGGGACGACGUCAAGUCAUCAUGCCCCUUAUGUCCUGGGCUGCACACGUGCUACAAUGGCCGGUACAGCGGGAUGCGAUGGCGCGAGCCGGAGCGGAUCCCUGAAAGCCGGCCCCAGUUCGGAUUGUAGGCUGAAACUCGCCUACAUGAAGCUGGAGUUACUAGUAAUCGCAGAUCAGAAUGCUGCGGUGAAUGCGUUCCCGGGUCUUGCACACACCGCCCGUCA